GACGAACGCUGGCGGCGUGCCUAAUACAUGCAAGUAGAACGCACAGUUUAUACCGUAGCUUGCUACACCAUACACUGUGAGUUGCGAACGGGUGAGUAACGCGUAGGUAACCUGCCUGGUAGCUGGGGAUAACUAUUGGAAACGAUAGCUAAUACCGCAUAAUAUUGAUUAUUGUAUGAUAAUUGAUUGAAAGAUGCUAUUGCAUCACUACCAGAUGGACCUGCGUUGUAUUAGCUAGUAGGUGAGGUAACGGCUCACCUAGGCGACGAUACAUAGCCGACCUGAGAGGGUGAUCGGCCACACUGGGACUGAGACACGGCCCAGACUCCUACGGGAGGCAGCAGUAGGGAAUCUUCGGCAAUGGACGAAAGUCUGACCGAGCAACGCCGCGUGAGUGAAGAAGGUUUUCGGAUCGUAAAGCUCUGUUGUAAGAGAAGAACGGGUGUGAGAGUGGAAAGUUCACACUGUGACGGUAUCUUACCAGAAAGGGACGGCUAACUACGUG
rnacentral:rRNA from 1 species